ACUCUGAUUGUUUUAAAUAUCAGUUUCAUUAAUUUGUUGAAAAUUGUCUCAUUUGUUGUUGUGAUUUUGCUGCUGAUUCAUGAAAAGCAGAUGAUCCGUGUUGAAGAUACGUUUAGUUCUAGUAUCAGAAGUACAAGAAGGAAAAUGGAAGUUUAGUUCUGCUACGUCAAAGAUUUCAGGAAUAAAAUAACUAAAUGAGUCUUUAUGCCUCAAACUUUAUUUUUACAAUAAAGAAAUAAUGAAAUAAUCACAGAUAAUAAAAAUAUAAAUAGCAGAGAAAAUCUGAGAGAAUAAUUUCCUGAAAAGUCUGUGAAGGAAAAGCAGCUUUUUUAUUCUGAAAGAUCACAAUCAGCUCCAACAUCUGCAUCUAACAGCAUCAAGUCAACCAGAAAGAAAAGAAAAAAGAAAAUGACUUCUUUCUGAUCGCAUCUGUUCCGCUGCUCACAGUCUGCUGCUGAUCACAUUCUUCACAUUUACAGUCCACUUUUAAAAGUUCAGCAGAGAGGUGCUCUGCUUUGGAGUGUGACGAUGUCAUUGGUGAUGUGGAGAGUGAAGUUUCCGUUUCACCCACAGCGUGCUUUAGGGCAGCCGGGUCGGACUUGAUGUUUGAAAUACUGACCGACAGCUCAGAUUUAACUGUCUGUAGUUCUGUUUUGACUUUCACUCAAAACCGCCAGGAGCUGGGUCUUUAAAAUAACUGCCGUCUCGUUACAGAGUGAAAGUAGCAGUUCCUCCUUAAGGUCAGAGAUUGCAGCAUCUGAGGGCCUCUUCAAAAGAAGACGUAGUUGAUGAAGGCGUUCUGGAGCAGGACCAGAAAGACCACGACCAAGCAGCCUUGAGAUCUUAUGCAGCGUCUCCCUCAGGUCCCUCUCUAUCUCCCCACACAUCCACCAACCACUGGAACACAUCUCCAAAGUUCUGCCAGGCCAGCUCAGCUUCCCCUCAGAAGAAGUGCCGCCACCUGCCAGAUGAAGGAGCCUUUUGAGAGGCAGCUGACAUCGUGAUUGGACUGUACUUUGGUCUGUUCCAAUCCAGCUUCAGCUCCAGAGACGGCAGGCGGGACGAGUCAACGGAGGCCUGGUGGACGAAGGCAUGAAGCUGAGUACAAUCCAGAAAACAACAGAGGAGGAGCGCAAACAGAGUAGCAUGACCAAAGAACUACAGACUCUUCACAACCUGCUCAAACUCUUGGUACAGGACCUCACCACACGGGUCAAGAAGGUUUCCUUCUCCUCAUUUCUACUCUGAAGCUCACCUUCUCCUGCUCAAACUGCUGACAAAUGUUUCUGCUGCUCUAAAGUCUGCUCUCCAGAACUUCCUAAAAACUCUCAAAGUCUCUUCUGCUGCAGGCUGCUUUGUAGAACUGUUGCAGAAAACCUCACUAAACCACAUGGAGGGGCCUCAAGAUAGUCGUCCAAAUGAAACCAUACAAAAACCAAACUAGAACAACCCAAACGCUAAAGUCUCCUGCAGCCUACCAGAGAACCUCUGAGAACAGAGAAUCAGGACAGGAACUCUUACCUUCUGGACAACCAAGAAUACAGAAUGUGUCUGACCAAAAACCUCUAAAGACUCACUACAGCCAAGAUAAAGACACAACUCAGCUGCACCAAAUCCACUAAUCACUGCACACAUUAGCACCAUGUGCUAACUGUGGCUAAAGAACCUCAUUUACCAAGACAACUAUCCAGUACAAAGCCCUAAAACACACCAAGAAACACAUUAAAGACGAUUUUACUGCUGGAAGCUGCAAGCCAACGCCUAAAGCACAAACAAAAGCAAUGGAGCCAAACCCGGUUCACUGGUGAAGAGAAGCAGAGGAAAUGUUUGUCUGCAGCUAAAUAAAGCAGGAAGACAGUGAGCUGCUCAGGUGUUCCUGAUAACACCAAGCAGCCACCUGGACAGCCAAUAGGAACACAGCUUACUGGAAGUCCAGAGGGCUGGCUUAGUGAAGUAAAGACCUUUUUCUGUUUUUGCUCUUUUUGAUUGUUUUAUUGUCUCUUCUGUUCAAUUUGAUCUUCUAAAGUUUAACUGGUGUCUUUUCAAAUGUUUUGUCUUUAGUUUGAUUCUUCUUAAACGUUUAGUUUUGCUCAUUUCUCAUCUUAUAUUCUUUUCUAAUGUCUGAUUUGAUUUCCAAAUGUUUUGUCUUUUUAAUGUUUAAUUGUUUUUUCAAAUGUUUUAUUGGCUUGUUUGAAAUUGUUUUUUCUUUCCCAAUAUUUAAUUUUUCGAUUAAAUCUUUAAGGUUUUUGUUUUUAAAUGUUUUACCACCUUUUAAUGUUUAAUUUUCUUUUUAAAUGCUCCAUUGUAUUUUCUGUUGAAUUCCUAUU